ensembl:ncRNA F37C12.22 ncRNA
CUUCUUCUUGACUCUUCCAGAGCUCAUCCUCAGAAGCGGGGGAGUCAUAUGUCUGCGUCUCUCUGUCUAUACUGUUGCAUCACGUACUGUCUCAUCCGGUUACCGUAAUUUGAAAUGCAUGACGGGAAGGGAAAACACUC